rnacentral:lncRNA from 1 species
GUGCCAAAAAAUAUGAAAACUUGACGUUCGUGACGUCACAUACAAUAUGAAAACUUGACGUUCGUGACGUCACAUACCAAACAAUGACGUCAUUCAAAAGAUUGACCUAAUUUGAGGAAAUUUUUUCUUUAGCAAAAAAAAAAAACAAAACUGACUUUAUAUAUAAAAAAAAAAAAGUAGGGGUGUGAUAAAGGGUAUGCGAUAAAGGGU